AUUUACUGCUACUUUCUCAUUUCUUAGACACUCAUUUUGUGCAUCUGGACAUUGCUGGAGAAAAUCCAUUGUGAUGGGCAAAUUAUCUGCUUGAUCAUUUAUCCUCCAGGAGUCCAAGAGUUUUUUAAGUGCAAGGGCAAGAGCCAGUUCAAAUAGUCCUUGAUUCAUGACCACCAUCGCAACUGGAAUUUCUGUUGCCAAGCAAAGCAGUUGUUAAGAAGAAUAUGCUGGGGAAGAAAUACAAGGCUCUCACUUUCCCAUUUUAUACAAGUUUACUCAGAAAUAAUUACUACUGACUUCAAUGUAGCUGCUUCUCAAGCACAUAUAGAUAGGAUUGCAGCCAUAGUAAUUUUACUUAGAUAUCUUUAUUUCUCAAUGGUUCCUCUUUUAGCCUGCAGGCAUACUCCGAACCUCUCUUGUCUUUAAACAGAAUCAAUUACCAUACACCCAUUGUAGGCAAACUUGAAGUGAUUUUCUUUUUAAAAAAAAUGUGGUAGGGGGAGUGAGUUUAAUAAGUUAUUGAUACUCCCUCCAUUUCAAGAAAGCAAUAAAUUUAGAGCCUGUAAGUUCAUGAAUUGUACACAUCUGUACAGCUUCAGCAAAUAAAGAUUGUUACCAUAGCAACGGCCACAUCGUAUGGAACAUGCUUGUGAAAUUCAGAGCUUCAUAUUAAGGGAAUCCGUCUGCCUCCCCCACUGCAUGGAACAUGAAAAUUUGUUUCUUGCGGCAUCAUUUUUCAGUGCUGUGUUUUUAGCGUUUGUGUGUAUCUUUAAUUAUAGCUCUUGCUCGGGCUCCUUUGUUCUAAAUUACACUCUUAGCAUUUGAGUUUUGUAUUGUGUAAUUUUAAAAUCAAAAGCAUAUAAUCACACAGCUUUAAUGAUUAUGGAAAAAAUGCAGGCAACCCAGCAACAACCUUGUUCUCUUGUGAGCGGAGUCUGGCUGAGCAUUCUCUGUGAAGAGCAUCUCUUUCUUCUAUUACUCAUAUGAUUCAAAGCUUUCAUUUCCAACUCCUUUCUGGUUCUCGUGGCCUACUCUGUUCUCUCUGUCAAAACAUAAUGGGACUUCAGUGGGGAGAAUCAGCCAACGUAUUCUUCAUAAAUACACGUCCCUUAAGGAAACAGGUACCAUCAAAAGAAGUAGUGAAAAAUAAUCACUGAUCUUCGGUGUUUUAAAAUUUUCACUCUAAUAUGGAUUAUUGGUUCUUACUGUUGGUUUUGUUGCUUUUCUUUUGUAAAGUCCACAUUGUGAAAAGCAGAAAUGGUUCAGCUAGGGAACAAGGCUUGGAUCUGAAUUUUUCUUAAUCAAUCAAUCCCACUUGUGCCUUCUGAACGUGUUAGUUCCUGGCAUUUCUUACCAGCUUGGCUAAUGAGCAUGGUGGCCAAGAAUCUUGGAUCUCUUAGACCAGGGGCCUGCAACCUUAAACACUCAAAGAGCCGUUUGGAGCUGUUUCCCACAGAAAAGAAAAUACAGGGAGCCACAAAACCCUUCCCCUGCCUAUUUCAUGAGCAGCCACAAGACUAGCAUAUGUAGUUGAAUUAAAUGUUCAGUUUUCUUCUGAAACUUUUCCAUGGUUGGCCUACUGGGAGUUGAAAAGCUCAAUAAAUCACAUGCCCGCGGGUGUCGCACAUUGGCAGUUGUGAUGCAUAUUUUGAGUGACAGGGAGCUGCAGCAAAGGGGUGAAAGAGCCAUAUGCGGCUCCUGAGCUGACCCCUGUCUUAGACCAAUAAAUCUAGUAGGAAACAACUUGGUGCUUUUUCACUCCUUUAUGGAUCUGAAAAGCUCAUGUAGAAUUGGUGAGUGAGUGGAUCAAUAACAAUAGAAUAUGUACUGUUAUAUAUAGUCAGACAAUUGCAGAACUUCAUCCUCAGAGAAGCCUGACAAAGAUAAGGCCUAUCAGGCUUAAACUUACAUGUAAACGAGGGGUGAAAUCCAGCAGGUUCUGACAGGUUCUGGAGAACUGGUAGUGGAAAUUUUGGGUAGUUUAGAGAACUGGCAAAUACCACCUCUGGCUGGCCAGUGGGAAUGGAGAUUUUGCAAUAUCCUUCCCUGGAGUGGGGUGGGAAUGGAAAUUUUGUAGGAUCCUUCCCCUACCACACCCACCAUACCACGCCGACCAAGCCACACCCACAGAACCGGUAGUAAAAAAAAAAUGGAUUUCACCACUGAUGCAGACCCAAUUUGAACCUUUUACUUGAUAUUGUUUAGACAUCUGAUUUCCUAAAAAUGUAUAGCAAAGUACAAAAAACAAGUUUUGGUAACAACAUUAUAAAAAAGAUGUUGAGACUUUGGAAAAAGUGCAAAGAAGAGCAACUAAGACGAUUAAGGGCCUGAAGACAAAAACGUAUGAGGAACGGUUGCAAGAAUUAGAUAUGGCCAAUGUAGAGAAAAGAAGGACUAGGGGUGACAUGAUAGCAGUAUUCCAGUAUUUUAGGGGCUGCCACAAAGAAGAGGUUUUCCAAGGCACCAGAAGCAUGACAAGAAACAAUGGAUGGAAACUAAUUAAGGAAAGAAGCGAUCUGGAAUUAAGGAGAAACUUCCCAACAGUGAGGACAAUUAACCAAUGGAACAGGUUGCCUUCAGAAAUUGUAGGUACUUCAUCAUUGGAGGUUUUUAAGAAAAGACUGGACAGCCACCUAUCUGAAAUGGUAUAGAGUUUCCUGCUUGAGCAUCAAUUUUGGACUAGAAGACCUCGAAGUUCCCUUCCAGCCCUAUCCUGAUUGAUUGAUUGAGGUUACACAAUUUAUAAGUAAAAUGUAAUUACAAACCUCACAAUAAUUAAAAUAUAGAUAUUUCUCCAGCAUAAGUGCUAUUUCCAUCAGCUACUUUCAGAGGUGUUACUUCAGAGAUUUUCUUUCUUCCUGCCGACCUCAA